UCAGCAGUGUGUUGGGGCCAUUCCGGU
rnacentral:piRNA from 1 species